CGAGACGGUGCGCGACGCCCUCGGGGAGCAGCCCGCCAAACGCCGGGCCGCGGUAGAUCGCGGCCGCCGCACCUUCUAGCGAACGCGCGGCGUCGGCGUCGGCAAUGGCCCGUGCUGUUUUGGCCGCCCGCUGCCCGGCAAACAGGCUCAUUGCCAGACGCAACUGGUCGUGGUCCAUCCACAAGGCGAAAACGGGCGGCUCCAGGCCGGGCUCGUGCGCGACGAUCCCCUCGGGCAGGCCGCCGAUCGAUCCGAUCUGGACCAGCGCGCCGCGCACCUCGUCAGCGCCGGCCACCCAUCCAGGCGUGCAAUCGAAAUCGUCCUGCUGUGCCUCAUCGCAGGGCGUCGUGUCACCGUGCGCGUACGUCGCGUCGCUAAAUGCGGCGUCGAGGCCAUCGUUGCCGCGAGAGCCUAGACCCUUGGCGAGCCGUCGCAGAAAAGCGGGCAAAAGCCAGGCGAGGUCCCCCACGGCGGCCUCGGCCCGGUCGGGAUUAAAGACGUCUCCGCGUCCGACAGCCGUCCAGUUGUCGGCCUCGUUCCAUUCGAUGAUUCCGGCGGCGAUCGGGUGCGCAUUGCCGUCGGCGGCCACGCGAUAGAGAUCGACAUACGCAUCAUAUUCCUCCUCGUCUUCAUCGGGUUCCGGCGACGGAGGGGCGACCAUGAUGAAAAAUCCAUCCAAUGCAUCGCCGCGCAAAUCACGUCGCUCUUGGCAACCGCGAUGGGCAUCGUCUUUCUUGUCGUCGUCGUCACCGCCGCCGCUAUCCUCGCGCUCGCCACGGCCACCGCAUUUGCCAUACGAGCCACGGUAAUCGCCGUGGCGACCGCGUUGAAAGGCGUGGCCAUCGCUGUCGUCGUCAUUGGCACACGCGAUAGAAAACAGCACGCGCUUCCAUCUGGGCAGAGGGUCGGGAAAGGCGGGAUCAACGGUGCUGGGUCCGCGCGCUCGCAAGAGGUCUCUCCGACGUAGGCGGCGGUCGAGCGACGCCGGAAGGUCCAGCAUCGGAUCGCCCUGUCCAACGUCGACGAUACCGCCAGGUAUGGCGAUGCCGUCAAACAAGGUCGCCACGUCGGUCACCGACGGUGGCCAUUGUUGGCCAGACACGAUGUCGGCGACGCGCGGCCUUUGUGCGAGCGCCUCCCAAAAGAUGCCAUAGCGCGUUACAAGGGCGUCGCAAUCGAUGGCGUCUCCUUCCUCCCGUCCAUUCAGAUCGUCGAACGAUACGUUCAACGUGAGGCGUGCCCAUUCGCUGAUGUCGCCAGUGUGCGGGGUGCCAUCGGCCAGGCGGCCACAGAGACGUCUCAAUGUUGCGGUCGACUCGUGCGCGUCGGCAUCAGACCAUGGCCGACGGUCUUGCAUCGUGUGACUGCCCACGAGAACGUACAAAAACACACAGCCGAACGACGCAGCGCUUAACUAUUGCACGACACGUUGCGUGUGUCGGAGCGCGUUGUGGCACGCGGGCAUCCCCAAGCACACGCGCACACACCGAGAGCCAACGCGACCGCCCCCAAACAAGAAAAAAAAACAAGAAAAAAAUUGUCUGCUGAAGCGAGGAAAAGGAAAGAAAAGCGCAACACCCCGCCCAGAGGCGACAGGUUCGGGUUGCCGGGUGGGGGGUCUUGCCGUUCUUUCUUUUUUUCGAUCACCAUGACCAUUCCGAUGACCGUGCCGGUUGUUCAUCGGCGGGCGUGGGGCGGUAUGUUUCCAAAACACCAUAAACAAACAGGUUGGCAAAG
rnacentral:lncRNA from 1 species